rnacentral:lncRNA from 1 species
GCCCGGCUUCCUUCCGCCACCGUGGGCCACGCUCCUGGCCGGUGUGGAAGUCAGGUGUCGGCGCUCGGCCUCCUCGAAGCUCCCCAAGGAUGGGGCAGAAGGCGGGACUAGCAAGCCACUCCUCUCGCUCAGGCCAGCGGCCGGCCCCUGCUGUCCGGGGACUCUGAAGACCCCUCGCUCCAGGCUCACCCUUCCAGGGAUGAGAGCGUCUGCUAACGACCAGACUGUGAUGCGGCCCCUGGUUCUUUCUUAAAACCACAUACAUGUCCCUAAUCAAGGAAGAUAUUGAACCCAUGAAUGUCAAGUGCUUCUGAAAUGGAGUUUUGCCGAUUGCUGCCUCUCUUCACAAAAGAAGUUACAUGUACGUUACAGAAGCAUCAGAAAAUACAGGGUUGUGAAGACCAUCAGCACCAUCGUCAAAGGCCCAGGGCCAGUGUGCCCUCAGCGUCAGCUCUCAUUACCCUUAUGGGCUAUGGUUUCCUGAAUAAAAUAAAUGAAGGUUAUAAUUAAGUGCUAAGCUCUUAAUGGGUGCCAAGUUGAAUUGAAUUGAUUUCUCAGUUAGUAUAACACAGAGAUAAGCUCCAAUACCUUGGCCACCUGAUGUGAAGAACUGACUCUGGAAAAGACCCUGAUGCUGGGAAAGAUUGAAGGCAGGAGGAGAAGGGGGCAGCAGAGAAUGAGAUGGUUGAAUGGCAUCACUGACUCAAUGGACAUGAGUUUGAGUAAACUCUGGGAGCUGGUGAUGGACAGGAAAGCCUGGCGCGCUGCAGUCUAUGGGGUCUCAAAGAGUCGGACACGACUGAGCGACGGAACUGAACUGAACUGAUAAGAAAGAGAAAAAAAGAACAAGAAUUUCUUACUAAUACAGUUUCCUGAGCCUCCGCAGGGCCCGUGCGUCCAAGAUCACUGGCCUGGGUGUCUGGUGAACGAGUCUGAGAAACCUUCCCAGGGCCUGGGCUGUGACGGUGACCCAGGCCUCGCUGACCACACUGUGUGCCAUGGACCAGGACUGUGUGGCCUGUGUGUGUGACUCUGAUUU